CAGGACAAAAUAUAUGCUGAGAAUAGGCUCAAGACCCCCUAUACAAACAGCCAAGGUGAACCCCACCAACAUGUCAAUAGGCUUGGUGAAGAUUUUAAGUUCUCCACCUGGUCUCCAAGAAGAGUCACUGCAGGGCCGAGCCACGAUGACUCUGAGGGAAAGACAAACACUGCUACUUUUCCAAAGAAAUCAUCCCUCGUGCGACAAAUAAGAGCGGUCAGAUCGAAGAGUUUAAAAGAGGGCCUUUCUGUCCAAGAAAGGAUGAAGCUGUUCGAGUCAUUCUGAUCCAGAGAAGAUGACCAGCUGACAUCUGCACUUCAGAGCUUUUCAGAAAUCUGUUUUAUUAUAACCUUUUUGUGUGUUGAAUGAUCAGAACAGGACACUAGAGGGCGCAACAAACACAGGUCAUUUUACACAUGCAUUCAGUGCAUUACACAGAGGUUUUGUAACUUAUAGACAAACUGUAUUUUUAUUGAAACACAGCUCACAUAAGCGUAUUGGAUCACUUGUAUUUGACAUUAUAGGCCACAUAACGCAACAUUUACCCUUCCAGCAGAGGAAAUACAUUCCUGAAAGAGAAGAGAUGCUACUGUACUUUUAUUACCUUCAUAUUUAUUCGAAACAGCUGCUUUAUGACUUCAAAUAAAUGAGCUUUCAAGUAAAACAAGGUUGGUCAAAAAUAAUGUGGAUCUCUGUUUUCUUAU